rnacentral:lncRNA from 1 species
AGCACUUCCGCGGGCAGUUGAAAAGAGCUGGUUUGCAUGCAGUCUUCUCUGUGUGUUUUCUGGUUUGCGGAGUUUGUUGUGGCGCGGGCGGUAGGUUGAAGAAGGUCCUUUCCAUUCCUGUGACUCUGGGAUUUGCCAACAUCCUGAUGAAGUGCACCAUGUUGUUCUUCACUCACCUGGGAAUGGAAGUAGUCAGAACUUUAAGUUAAGCUGGUGGGUUUCACAGAUGACACAUCUGGCCUAGUGUCUUGAAGACGAAGCUGUGAAGAUUCAAAGAUUGAGAGGGAAGAUAAAGAAAAACAAAGAGAUAAAAAAAAUGUCACAUCACCAGGACCAGCUACAUAAUUUGGGGGGCCCAGUGUGAAAUGAAAAUGCUUGGCCUCUUGAACAUAAAUUAUUAAGAAUUUCAAAACAGUAACAGCAGAACAAUAAACCAAGAGUGUGUUUGUGUCCUACUCACCUUGAGGCCUUAUGUCGUGGCACAGGUCACACACUCCUCAAGCUGGCCCUGCACAUCACAGUCCACCAAGGAUGUCCACUUUCAGUCAUUCACCCAGGUCACUAGCUGCUUUCAACUGAAAGGGACUGAAACCCUGAUUCAAACUGGCUUAAAUCAGGAGGAAAUAUAGACUAGCAGAAGGUUGUUCUUCAGGCACAAUGUGAACACUGGCACCCAACAUCACCAAAGGCCCGGAUUCUUUUAGGAACAAAGAUGACUUUCCCAGGAGCCUCUGGCAUUUCCGCAGCCAGAACUGGGUCCUAUGUCCAC